GUGUCAGCCGCCGCGGUAAUACAGAGGUCCCAAGCGUUGUUCGGAUUUACUGGGCGUAAAGGGUGCGUAGGCGGUGGGGUAAGUUUGAGGUGAAAGCUCCGGGCUCAACCCGGAAACUGCCUUGAAAACUAUCCGGCUAGAGGGUUGGAGGGGAGACUGGAAUUCUCGGUGUAGCAGUGAAAUGCGUAGAUCUCGAGAGGAACACCAGUGGCGAAGGCGGGUCUCUGGACAACACCUGACGCUGAGGCACGAAAGCCAGGGGAGCAAACGGGAUUAGAAACCCCGGUAGUCC
rnacentral:rRNA from 1 species